AGGUGUGUAAUCACAAAACCUAUUUUUUUUUUCCGUUCACACCAAUCCUUUUGUUUUGAUUGCUUUCGAUGGCGUCGUCGCUUCUGGUCCCAUCGGCGGCUGUUGACGAGACAACAUCAGUCAAACUUUCUAGUCUAGCCAAUGGAAACCCCUUGUUACCGCCGCUGAUAGGUCAGAUCGGAAAACCGUCGCCGGCUGUGCCUCGAUCCCUUGACACACGAAACCGUACGUUGACGACCCUGAGUCUCAUCGAGGAAUGUAAUCGUUUACACGAUCGAGUGAGUUCUUGAAUCAUCUCGAAACCCUAACUCUGAAUCUUCUGGUUCUGGUCGAGUUCCAAGAUUGAGGGGACUAUAUAUUAAAGCCCUAGACAGGUAAUAGGUAUUAUUAAUCUGAUGCUCUGACCAGUUACUCUAUUCGAGAUAUAUUAUUGAAGCCAGGGAGCCUCGAGAAGAACCCAAGAACAGAGCUUAUUCAUGGAUAAGAACUAGAUAACUAUAGACACAAACAGGUAGUGCGAUCUCUGUAGGGAUCAAAGAGUUUAAUUACUUGCAAGAAAUCUCCAAUGUUGAUGACAAGUGCCCCGGGGAUAGGUGAUACAUCGACCCAACAGUCUUGUUGAAGAACUUGAAGACCACCGACGACGUUGUCCUGAAGAACUAUGGUGAUGAAAGUGAUGUCGGAAUGCUUACCUAGGCCCAAAGUUAGUUCAGGUUGUGGACAAGGAGGGUAAUAAUGGCAGACCAUAUACAUACUCUUUAUGCAAUCCAUGUUCUUAAGGGUCUCAGUGGUCAAACCAAGAGCUUCUGAGAGAAGUUCAAAGACCAAACCACCUAAGCUCAUCACAUGCUUCGAGGAACCGAACAUUGCAUCCCUGACCCGCCAGUUUAUGAUGUUAAAAUCACAAUAUAUAGUACUGUAUGUCUUCGAUAAUUUCAAAGACGAAUAAACAAAUUACCUGCAAGCCACUGGGA